CAGUAGCCACGGGAAUACGUAGGGUGCAAGCGUUAAUCGGAAUUACUGGGCGUAAAGCGUGCGCAGGCGGUUAUAUAAGACAGAUGUGAAAUCCCCGGGCUCAACCUGGGAACUGCAUUUGUGACUGUAUAGCUAGAGUACGGCAGAGGGGGAUGGAAUUCCGCGUGUAGCAGUGAAAUGCGUAGAUAUGCGGAGGAACACCGAUGGCGAAGGCAAUCCCCUGGGCCUGUACUGACGCUCAUGCACGAAAGCGUGGGGAGCAAACAGGAUUAGAUACCCCCGUAGUCCCUGUCUCUUAUAA
rnacentral:rRNA from 1 species